CUGUAAUGCAGAUAUCCAAGGGGACUAGACUAUUGGAUGGAAGACAACAGAUGAAUUGUGUUUCAAACUUUAGUCGAGGCAACAAGACGCAGCUGCACAUCAGUAAAAACCUCCCCUACAAAUCCUCACGAAAAAGGAAGAGUAGGUUUUGAAACUACCACUCUGCUCAAAAAUGUUGACUGGGUGGCAUCUUCGAUCCCAGCAUCUCUCCAACAACUCUCCCACACCUGCAUUUGAUCUUCAUGGUUGUGAAGCGUAUGAAGAGGGCCAAUACGUUUGGCUUUUUUUUAUGACGCUGUUCUUUGUUUUGGGAUUUCCUGCAUCUAUUGCCAUCCUGUGGCAGAUGUUUAAGGCUCACUGGGGAGGAAGUCCCUUCACACCAAUUGAUAUUUUCGUGCUGAACAUCUCCACCAUGGACGGUGUCUACUUGUUCUUCAUCCCUCUUGGAAUAUUGAAUCAUGUCAUCUGGAUGUAUUGGCCUUUAGAGGCAUUGUGGAACGGUGUCUAUGCCUUGAACACAUGUGGGAGACCCCUCAUGAUGGCUUGUAUCUGUCUGGACUGUUACCUGGCUGUGGUUCAUCCAAUAACCUACCACAAGAGGAAAAGUCUGACUCCCAGGGUGAUGAUGGCUGGCAUUGUUUGGAUUUUGACAAUUGCCUCUGGAAUUGCAUACUAUUUUUUUCAUCUGUUAUACUACACCAUCUUUUCCACUCUCCCAUUGAUAGUAGCAAUGGUGAUAAUCUCGAUCUGUGAUUCUCUCAUCCUCCAUUCACUCAUUAAAUCUGACCUCAGAAGAAACAUCCACCCUCAGAAGCAAAAAGCCAUUCACACCCUCAUCAACAGCCUGGUGAUAUCAGUCCUGUCUUACCUUCCCCCAGUGCUUCUAAUAGUAGUUGUAAAGCCCCAGGUCAGUGAAGAUAUCUUCAUAUGUUCUAUUGGUUAUCCUAUGACACUUAAUUCCUGUAUGGGAUCUACUCUCAUGUCAUUACUCCACCUUAAAAGACAUGGGCAGUUGGAUUGUUUCAAGGUUGGAUGCUGCAGGAAGUCUUAAGUCAUAAAUCAUGUGCCGUAGAAGCUUUAAAACAUUUUAACUUUCAGAAGUUGAGUUUCAGUCAGCUCUGAAAUAACUUACAUCCCAACUAAAUCAUAUUAUCAUUUACAAAUUCAAAUCAAGACAUAUGUUUGUUCAAUGGGAUUCUUUCCCUGAUUCAAUUUAUAUAAUGUUCUGUUGUUCUUGGAUGUUGUUGCUCAUAAUCAACUGUGUUCCAUGUUUGCAGAAAUUAUUAUUUCCUUAAUAAGAAAACCUAUAACAAUCCUAUUACUUUAAAAGUCUCUUACAUAGUAAAAAGCUGUACUCUUGAAACAAUGCAUGUAUGGAACCUGUAUAUUCAAAUGAAUGUUGAUAUUGUGAUUAAAAAAGAAACAGUUGAAUGUCUUUCAAUGUGAACCCGACAAUAAAGCCAUUGAACUCG